GGUACCUACGGGGCGCAGCAGUAGGGAAUUUUCGCCAAUGGGCGCAAGCCUGAACGAGCAAUGCCGCGUGAACGAGGAAGGUCUUCGGAUCGUAAAGUUCUGUUGAAGGGGAAAAAGAGCGGAGAGAGGAAAUGGACUCCGAUUGAUAUUACCCUUCGCGGAAGUCACGGCUAACUACGUGCCAGCAGCCGCGGUAAUACGUAGGUGGCGAGCGUUAUCCGGAAUGAUUGGGCGUAAAGGGUGCGUAGGCGGCCUGCUAAGUC
rnacentral:rRNA from 1 species